GAAUACAAGUGAGCUUAUCUGGACUACAAACACUACUGCACAGAGCCGACAUAUAUGCAAGGUGGACCUAAAAGAUGAUAUAACGCCAUACAACGUCACAUUUUAUAGGUCAUAUUUAGUAAAGAGUGGAUGGAGAAUAAGAAAAUGUGCCGGAGAGUUUCAACAUUUUUAUAGGAAUGUCACGCCACAUGAUCCUUAUGACUCCAUGAUAAUUAGUGCCAAAGGUGCAAGCUACAAGACCACCGAGGUGCUGCACUAUCGAAGCCCAGACAACAAUUGCGCCAUCUUUUGGGUAUUGCGGGCUGGUUCAUGUAUGUACCAAUGGAA